AUUGAACGCUGGCGGCAGGCCUAACACAUGCCAGUCGAGCGGAGGAAGGGAGCUUGCUCCUGGAUUCAGCGGCGGACGGGUGAGUAAUGCCUAGGAAUCUGCCUGGUAGUGGGGGAUAACGUCCGGAAACGGGCGCUAAUACCGCAUACGUCCUGAGGGAGAAAGUGGGGGAUCUUCGGACCUCACGCUAUCAGAUGAGCCUAGGUCGGAUUAGCUAGUUGGUGGGGUAAAGGCCUACCAAGGCGACGAUCCGUAACUGGUCUGAGAGGAUGAUCAGUCACACUGAAACUGAGACACGGUCCAGACUCCUACGGGAGGCAGCAGUGGGGAAUAUUGGACAAUGGGCGAAAGCCUGAUCCAGCCAUGCCGCGUGUGUGAAGAAGGUCUUCGGAUUGUAAAGCACUUUAAGUUGGGAGGAAGGGCAGUAAGUUAAUACCUUGCUGUUUUGACGUUACCAACAGAAUAAGCACCGGCUAACUUCGUG
rnacentral:rRNA from 1 species